ACCAGUCUUCUUCUCCCUUCCCUGAUCCCUGGGCAUCAGCAUCAUGGGCCCAGGUGGCCUUGGGCCAGGGAUGGCGUAGGCCAGUCAAGGCCUCACCCAGACGUCACCACCCCCUUCUUACAGUCCGCCAGCUCCUCAGGAGUGGAGUCAGCCCCGACCUGGCCAAUGAGGAUGGGCUGACAGCACUGCACCAGGUCAGCCUGUGUGCGGGGUGGGCAGGGCAGGGGCUGGCAGGGCUCAGGCCACUCAGGCUGUGUGUUUGCAGUGCUGCAUUGAUGAUUUCCGAGAGAUGGUGCAACAGCUCCUGGAGGCUGGGGCUGACGUCAAUGCCCGUGACAGCGAGUGCUGGACCCCCCUGCAUGCUGCAGCCACCUGUGGCCACCUGCACCUGGUGGAGCUUCUCAUUGCCCGGUAGUGUCCAUUGGGCCUUUAUCAUGGAGGGGCUUUCUCACAGAUGGCAGCUCAUGUGGCUAUUCUGUGAAGCUGGUCAGGUCCUGGCUUCCUGUGUCCUCACCUCUGUCCAUCCUGCUUGAGACCCCUGGGGGAUAGUUUGGGCCCACCUGGUAGGCUGGACCACCAGCUCUGGAUGGAGGGCCUUCUCAUGGUCUCCCCUGAGAAAUGCCAUUCUGGUUAGGGUUGAGGGUAGAACGAAUAAGGGGGUAAGGGGAGCAGAGAGGCCAGGUGGGUCUCGGAGGGUGUGCGUGGGUAUCGGUGAGGACUUUUCUCCAACAGGAAGGAAGGUGGAGUGGGGAGUGGUGGUAAGCCCUGUAACUCCAGCUACUUGGGAGGCUGCGACAGGAGGAUCUCAAGUUCAAGGCCAGCCUGGGCAACUUAGAUCUUAUCUCAAAGAUUAAAAAAAAAUGUUUUGGUGGUAUUGGGGAUUAAACUCAGGAUCUCAGGCUAGGCAGCCAUUCUACCACUAAGCUAUAUCCCCAGCCCUUUAAAGUAAAAAAAGAAAAAAUAAAAAAGUAACAAUUAAUGAAAGGACUGAGGAUGUAGCUCAGCUUUUGCCAAGGGUGGACGUGGCUUUGGGUUCAAUCCCUAGUUACACACACACACACACACAUAAAUAAAUAAAUAAAUAGGACUGGGGAUUUUACUUAGUGUUAAAGCACAUCUGGGCUCAGUCCCCAGUACUGGGGGAUGGGAGGAGGAUGGAGCAGAGGAGGUUAGUGGCUUCCUCAGGUUCAGGAGCCUGUCCUUCCUCCCCCCAUCCUGGGCCUCUCCAGUAGAUCAGAGAUCCUCGUGUGGGUGACUGGCUGUUGCCAUCACACAUAAGUGCCUCCUCUGAGUAGAGCAGUAGCCAUGCAGCAAACAGGCCCCCAGGCUCCCCUUGGAGCUGGUGACAGGCUGCAGGUGGGUUCCAAACCUUAGGCAGCCCCUCUGUGUCCUUUGCUCCCCCCAGCUCCCCUUCCCCCAGGCCUGCUUCCCCUGAUCUGUGGGCUCAAAAUCAGCAACUGCUUGGCUUUCUUGCUUCACUUCUCCCUGGGGUCCCCAGAGUGCUGCGUACCUCCUGCAGGUGUACCCUGUAUUUAUGGGGGACAGACGGGUGCCUUGGGCCUUGAAGCCCAGAUGGGUAGACUGCAGGAUGGCCUGUCUGCCUGAGGAACAAGAUCCAGAGCUGAGGGCCUUCCAGAUGAGCCCAGAGGCUUCCUCUCCCAACAGCAGCUAGAACCUACGAGUCCUCCCCAUGUCUGCUGGCACUUCCUGAAGGCAGUCCGAGGCUCAGGGAGGACUUGCUGAAAGGGGACUGAGCAGCCGGCAGCUCUCAUCCGUCCUCCCUGCAGGGGUGCUGAUCUCCUGGCAGUCAACACUGAUGGGAACAUGCCUUAUGACCUGUGUGAGGAUGAGCAGACACUGGACUGCCUGGAGACUGCCAUGGCCCACAGGGGUGAGUGUGCUGUGCCUGCCUGCUCGGGUGGGCCUGGGCAUUCCGUCUCUGAGCCUGCUGCUCCACAGGCAUCACCCAGGACAGCAUUGAGGAGGCCCGGGCCGUGCCAGAGCUGCUCAUGCUGAAGGACCUCCAGAGCCUUCUGCAUGUUGGGGCUGACCUCAAUGACCCGCUGGACCAUGGAGCCACACUGGUGAGGACUUGGCCACGUGGAGGGGGUCUGUUCAGGGGCUGGGGGCUUGUUGGGUGGGUGUGGGACUGGGAUUCAGGGCGGGGUGGCCUGCCUGCAGCUGCACAUGGCCGCCGCCAGUGGGUUCAGUGAGGCAGCUGCCCUGCUGCUGGAGCAUGGAGCCAGCCUGACUGCCAAGGACCUCGACGGCUGGGAGCCGCUGCACGCUGCCGCCUACUGGGGACAGGUGAGUGUGGUCAGGAGCAGAUGCUGAGCGGGCUCUUGGCUGCGGCUCAAGCCCUCAGCAGCCCCCACUGGCUGGCCUGCAGGUGCACCUGGUGGAGCUGCUUGUGGCAAACGGGGCCGACCUGAAUGGGAGAUCCCUGACGGAUGAGACACCCCUUGGUGAGCUCCAGGGCUGCCUCCACCUGGGGGAAGGGACAGGCAGGGAGGGCCCCUGUGACGCUUGUGGUCAUCUCUCAGAUGUCUGUGGUGAUGAGGAGGUGCGGGCCAGGCUGCUGCAGCUGAAGCAGAAGCAGGAGGCACUCUUGCGAGCCCAGGGCCGCCAGCGCUCCCUGCUGCGCCGCCGCGCCUCCAGUGCAGGCAGCCGCGGGUGAGCUGCCCCACAGUCCAUGCCCAGCCCCCACCCCGGCUGUGCCUCAGGAUGGAUGGGAUGUCAGCCUGCAGGUGGAGCUGCCAGCACAACUAGGCCGGGUCUGAGGGACAGCUGGUGUCCCCUCUCACCUCCACCACACCCCGGCCUUCCAGGAAAGUGGUGAGGCGAGUGAGCCUGACCCAGCGCACCGACCUGUACCGCCAGGAGCAUGCCCAGGAGGCCAUCGUGUGGCAGCAGCCACCACCCCCAAGUCCAGAGCCGCUGGAGGAGGAUGAGGACCACCAGACAGACGCAGAGCUCUGGCUGCCACCCCCAGAGGUGAGAGUCCUGGCCUUGUGCUACCCACCUUCCACGUGGCUUUGGCAUGGGUCCUAGGCUGUGACCUGGCAUCAGUAUGUGAGUUUCCCAUUCACACUGGUCCAGUGUGGAGCUGGGAGGACCAGUGACCUUGUGCCCCUAGGUGGGCCAUGCUCCUCAGGGCUGGGCUGUUGUCCCCCUGCCCCUCACGGUUGUUCUUCUACAACCAGGUAGCCUAGAUCCUGAGGCCAGGGCAAGUAAGAGGAGCUGCCUCCUGACAGCCUUGGGCCCUGAUUCUGCCCACAGGAAGAUGACCCUGAGGUGGCCAGGUCCCACAAUGGCCGAGUAGGGGGCCCCCCAGGGCGGCACCUAUACUCCAAGCGGCUGGACCGGAGUGUGUCGUACCAGCUGAGCCCUGUGGAGAGUACCACCCCAGACACCCUUGUCCGGGACAAGGCCCACCACACCUUGGCCGAACUCAAACGCCAGCGGGCUGCUGCCAAGCUCCUGCGACCACAGCCUGAGGGGCCUGAGGCCCCUGAAUCUGGCUUGUCUGCUGACCCCGUGUCCUCCCAGCCGGACUGCGGCUUCAGGGCAGGCGGGGACCCACCCCUGCUCAAGCUCACAGCCCCAUCUGAGGAGGCCCCGAUGGAGAAGAGGCCAUGCUGCUUGCUCAUGUGAGGGGCUGUACCCAUUUCCAGGCCAGCCCGAGGCUUGCCCUGGAGGCCCACUCAGGGUGUGCCCUGGAACUGCAGGUGGGCAGACACCAGAGUCUUCCCCAGCUUCUACCCCUCAGGACAGUGGACUCUCUGUUGGGGAUGGACUUUAGGCAGAGCCGUAUCUGCAGGCAUCUGCUGCAGAGUGUUUGUCCUGUGACGCUUGAUAAAGGGGUGUUUGUCGUCAAGCCUUCCAGUGUCUCCGCUGGGGAGGGGCAGGCGGUGCUGCUGGACAGGUGCCGCCCAUGCCCUCGAGCAAGCACUCAGGCCUGUAGGUGCGUGCUGGGGCUCGCAAGUAGAGGCCUGGCCCCUGUGUGGGAGGGAGGCCCAAGGGCCACUGGGCAAGAAGCCUGGCCUUCCCCACACCCUCCCUGCCAUAUUCGACUUCCUGGAAGCACUGUUAACUCUUUGUUUUCCUGAGGGCAGUAGGGUACUUCAGAAGGAAGCUCUUUUCGGGCCAGAGCUGAGGGGGACCAUACCAAGGGGCAGGAGUCCUGACCUGCCAAGGGAGGGCGUAUUUUUUCCAGGAUUCCUGGGCCAGAGCCAGUAGAGCAAAUCUGGCACGGCCGGCAUCAGGCACUUCCCAGGGGCAGUGGUUCCCCAAUUCGUGGCCUGUUGCCCUGAUCCUGGGCCCUGGCUGACAACUUGUGCCUGGGCUGGUGUAGGUGACAAGCACUUGGCCACUCAGGCGCCGAGCUGGCUGGGUACAAUGUGUAAGGAUGAAGGGGCCCUUAGGGGACUCAAGCUGGAGGGCUGAGGGCACUGCCAGAUCAUCUCUCUGUCCACAGUAGGCAGCCCUGCAUGGCCACCCGCACUGGGUGGUAUGAGUUUAGGCUACCCUCCUCUCCUUGCUGGGUACUGACCUGGUCUGCUCAGUGUCCAGGGCCCGCCUGCCCUUCUAGCAUCUGUGGUUGGAGGGUUGCUGCCCUUAGCAGGUCUGGGGGAGGGCCAGGGGCUAGCUGCUGGUUAAAUUUAGUGAGUGGGGCGGUACCUCUGCCUAAGGUCCACCUACCACCACAGCUGCCACUUGGGCCCUGAUGCCAGAAGUCAGGCAGUGGCUGGCUCUGACUGGGGCCGGGCUCAUAUUAACCUGUCCUCUGAUGUGAGGGCCAAAGGACAGGCCUGUGAAUUGGGAGGCCAUUGUGGCAGCAGAACUGAGAGGUGCAAGUUGAGAGAGGUAUGUGUGUGUGUGUCUGUGUGCAUGUGUGCGCGCGCGUGCAUUCCCCACUUAGAACUCCUGGUGGCUUCUCUCCCAAUCUGCAGAAACAGAGGAGCCAAGGCUCCCCUUCCGUCUAACCAGCUGCUACUGCCCAGCUCAGAGGGCUGGCUUCCCGACUGUCAGUUCACCCUUGGAUCUGGCUGGCCUGGCAGCCUGCAGAGGCAAACCCUGGGAAUGGCCUGUGAGCCUGUGGAGGUGGGGUUCUGGGGGCCUAUUGCAGUUUACUUCCUGCUCUCUCCACCAAUCAGGAAGGAGGGAAGGUGACAGGCUACCCACCCCCAUGGCUGGGGUGUGGCCCCAAGGGCAACCCCAGGCUCCUGUGUGUUGAAAGGGUAUGAGGGCCACCUGGGGCAAGGGGUUCGCCUGCCCUGUCUGCAGCCCUCCUCCUCCCUCCAGCCCCUUGCAAUGCUGAUCAGGGACCAAGGUCCAGCUGCAGUGUUCUUGUAGUCUCUGGGCCAUGGCCAUUGCCCUGGUGGAACUCAGAGUCUCUACUCCUCACUCGUCCCCCCCAGCCCCCCCAGCAUUCCUAAGGUCUGGCUGUCACCUAGGAGACAGGUCUGUCUGCUGGCCUAAGAAAAGAUGGGGGUGCCAAGAGGGCUAGGCCUCAGCAGUGCCCUGCUGAGGUAAAUCCAGUGGCUACUGGCUGCAGUCUCACCUUAGGGGUCACCCCUACCCAACUCUGCCAACCUCUCAGGUCCACUAGGCCCAGGCAUUGAGCCCUUCCCUCCCCCAACACCAAGGCCGUCUCUCCCUACCCCCCAUGUGGGUCUCCUGCGCUCCUGUCAUGGGGACACUGGGCGGGCACUGGGACUCACCCCAAGCCCCGCCUGCUGCCUCACCCACGCCCUCUGCCUCCCUGGGGCAGAACUGUGCCCAGACUAUGGGGUGGAGCCGAGGCGGCUCCAGCUCCUGCAGCCCUUUCUGUCCCUUUCAUUGGAGCCAGUAGGCUGCAGUGAAGCGGGUGUCCUCUUACGUUGAGCUCCCAAGCCUGGACCCUGCUGCCCCCACCACCACCUCUGGGCCUGCCACCUCCUGAGCCACCUUCCUGCCUGAUCUGAGCAGAGUCAUGGCCUUGAGAGUAGGUGACCAGAGCCGGGCUGCACGGAAUGGGCUGAGGGAGAAGGUGCUGACACUGGACUCCAUGAACCCGUGUGUGCGCAAGGUGGAGUACGCCGUGCGUGGCCCCAUAGUGCUGCGGGCCUUGGAGCUGGAGCAGGAGCUGCGCCAGGUACGGUCCCGAGGCCCUGCUACCCUCCUGCUGUUCCUGGGCUACUAGAUCAGCCUCUGGCCCAGUGGCACUUGGGACUAGGGCUGUGGGGGUAAUGGUGCCCAAUCUGGCUGCCUUCUCCCUUUCCCUCCCAGGGUGUGAAGAAACCCUUCACCGAGGUCAUCCGUGCCAACAUUGGAGAUGCACAGGCCAUGGGGCAGAGGCCCAUCACUUUCUUCCGCCAGGUGAGGCUCCUGUACUGCCUGUGUCCCCUGGCUCCAGCCAUCAGUGUGCCCUGACCUCAUCAUUCCGUCCGCCCAGGUCUUGGCCCUCUGUGUCCACCCAGAUCUCUUGCACAGCCCUGACUUCCCUGAGGAUGCCAAACGAAGGGCUCAGCGCAUCUUGCAGGCAUGCGGGGGCCACAGCCUGGGUGAGUGCUGGUGCCAGGCGGGGACCAAGCCCCAGGAAGAAGCAGAGAAGGGUGGAUCUCUUGGGAGGGUUGCGGGAGGACUAGCCACUUUCAUGGGUCUGCUCUGCUCUGCUUGCCGGAGUCCAGGGGCCUAUAGCAUCAGCUCUGGCAUCCAGCUGAUCCGUGAGGAUGUUGCACGGUACAUCGAGAGGCGAGAUGGAGGCAUCCCUGCUGACCCCAACAACAUCUUCCUGUCCACGGGUGCCAGUGAUGCCAUCGUGGUAGGCUGGGCCACGGCAGGACACAAUGGCUCUUCAACUGUGGUUCCACAGGGCAGGGGACGGGUGCAGCCCCUUGGCCCUGCCAACACUGCGCUCCUCCCCCUGCCCACAGACGGUGCUGAAGCUGCUGGUGGCUGGUGAGGGCCGCCGGCGUACAGGCGUGCUCAUCCCUGUCCCGCAGUACCCGCUCUACUCGGCCACUCUGGCCGAACUGGACGCUGUGCAGGUGGACUACUACCUGGAUGAGGAGCGCACUUGGGCACUCGAUGUGGCUGAGCUGCGGCGCAGGCUGUCUCAAGCACGUGACCACUGCUGCCCACGCGCGCUCUGCGUGAUCAACCCCGGCAACCCCACCGGUGCGCCACCUCCCUGCCCCACCUACCCUGACCCCUCCAGCUGCUACAUGCUCCUAGGCCUACCACAAUGGGUCAGUCAACCCCCACUGUCCAGAUGAGCAGGGGUGGGGUGGUGGGUGCCCGCAGUUGACCCUGGCCGCGCUGCUGUCCCCAGGGCAGGUGCAGACCCGGGAGUGCAUCGAGGCUGUGAUCCGCUUCGCAUUCGAAGAGGGACUCUUUCUGAUGGCUGAUGAGGUGCUUACAGGGAUGCGCAAGGGAGGGUGGCUGCGGGUCAGCGGCCGGCCGCGUGACGACAGCGCCCCUGCAGGUGUACCAGGACAACGUGUACGCAGAGGGCUCGCGCUUCUACUCCUUCAAGAAGGUGCUCACCGAGAUGGGCCCACCGUACUCCACGCAGCAGGAGCUUGCCUCCUUCCACUCAGCCUCCAAGGGCUACAUGGGCGAGUGCGUGUGGGCCGGUGGCGGGGGGGGGUUCUUGGACUCCAGCCACUUUCCUGCCCCCUUCUUCCCGGCUGGGCCUCGACCUUGACGCCUGCCCUACCUGGCAGGUGCGGGUUCCGCGGUGGCUACGUGGAGGUGGUGAACAUGGACCCCGAAGUGCAGCGGCAGAUGCUGAAGCUGAUGAGUGUGCGGCUGUGCCCGCCUGUGCCGGGCCAGGCCCUGCUGGACAUGGUGGUCAGCCCGCCAGCACCCUCUGACCCCUCCUUUGCGCAGUUCCAGGAGGUGAGGGAAAUGAGGCCAAGGGCAUCUGGCGAGCCAGUUGGGAAAAGGAUUGAGGGCUAUUGUGUCCCUGCCAUGCCCUGAUUGUCCCCUCCGUGGCUGCAGGAGAGGCAAAUGGUGCUAGCUGAGCUGGCGGCCAAGGCCAAGCUCACGGAGCAGGUCUUCAAUGAAACUCCUGGCAUCAGAUGCAACCCAGUGCAGGGUGCCAUGUACUCCUUCCCUCGAGUGCAGCUGCCCCCCCGGGCGGUCCAGCUUGCUCAGGUCUGGUGGGGCAGGGCAGGGUGGGGCGGAGGCCUGGGCAUAGAGCUCUGACCGCCCUCCACACCGCAGGAGCUCGGCCUGGCCCCAGACAUGUUCUUCUGCCAGCGCCUCCUGGAGGAGACCGGAAUCUGCGUGGUGCCUGGGAGCGGCUUUGGGCAACUGGAGGGCACCUAUCACUUCCGGUGAGACCAGGCCCGCACAGCCUGCCAGUGCCUGCUGUGCCCCCUUUGGCUUAUAGCUUGCCCUUUCCAGGAUGACCAUCCUGCCCCCCAUGGAGAAGCUUCGACUGCUGCUGGAGAAGCUGAGCCGUUUUCAUGCCAAGUUCACCCGGGAGUACUCCUGAGGCCACCACAGGGACCAGGCUGGGCUGCCUGGACUGACUUUGCCCAGGGACCUGGUGGUCUCUGGACCCCUCAGAACUUGCUGCUGCCCCUUGGGGGCUGGGCAUCUCUCUCUGCCAGUUCCUAAUAAAGCUGAGUGUGGUUAUGACUCUGGAGGGGUGAGCCCCACUUCCAUGGGUGAUGACUCC
rnacentral:lncRNA from 1 species